rnacentral:rRNA from 1 species
UACGGAGGGUGCAAGCGUUAUCCGGAUUCACUGGGUUUAAAGGGAGCGUAGGUGGGCUUGUAAGUCAGUGGUGAAAUCUCCGUGCUUAACACGGAAACUGCCAUUGAUACUAUAGGUCUUUGAAUGUUCUGGAGGUUAGCGGAAUAUGUCAUGUAGCGGUGAAAUGCUUAGAUAUGACAUAGAACACCAAUUGCGAAGGCAGCUAACUACAGGGUUAUUUGACACUGAGGCUCGAAAAGCGUGGGGGAUCAAAACAGG